GGAUAUGAGGGCGAUCUGGCUGCGACACCUGUCACCCCAUUGAUCGCCUUGGUUGAUUUGGCUGAUCUGGCUGGUUAGGCGGGUCUCCCCUUCCUCCCUCACCGCUCCAUGUGCGUCCCUCCCGAAGCUGCGCGCUCGGUCGAAGAGGACGACCUUCCCGGAUAGAGGAGGAUCGUUCUUCGGUCAAGGGUAUACGAGUAGCUGUGCUCCCCUGUUAAAACCUCCAAACAAGCUUUCAAGGUCCAUUAGGAUCCAAUACGUAACACAAAAAUGUUGGAACCUCUGGUCAGCAUCCUUU
ensembl:misc_RNA 7SK 7SK RNA